UAUAAACAAGUCCUGGUCAUGCUU
rnacentral:miRNA from 1 species